AAACCAGCACCUCAAGUGGUCAGGAGGAUUAUUGGGCCUAAAGCAUCCGUAGCCUGUUCUGUAAGUUUUCGGUUAAAUCCAUUAGCUCAACUAAUGGGCCGCCGAAAAUACUGUAGAACUAGGGAGUGGGAGAGGUAGACAGUAUUCGGUAGGAAGGGGUAAAAUCCUUUGAUCUAUUGAGGACCACCUGUGGCGAAGGCGGUCUACCAGAACACGUUCGACGGUGAGGGAUGAAAGCUGGGGGAGCAAACCGGAUUAGAAACCCCAGUAGUCC
rnacentral:rRNA from 1 species